rnacentral:rRNA from 1 species
UACGUAGGUGGCAAGCGUUGUCCGGAUUUACUGGGCGUAAAGAGCGCGCAGGCGGUCGUUCAAGUCGCGUGUGAAAGCCCCCGGCUCAACUGGGGAGGGUCACGCGAUACUGAUCGACUCGAAGGCAGGAGAGGGUAGUGGAAUUCCCGGUGUAGUGGUGAAAUGCGUAGAUAUCGGGAGGAACACCAGUGGCGAAGGCGACUACCUGGCCUGUUCUUGACGCUGAGGCGCGAAAGCUGGGGGAGCAAACGGGG